CUAAAGGUACGAAACACUACUACAUAUAAACAAUGGUCACACGAUACAGUAUUUGGAUACAUCAGUUUCCCCACUACUAGAUUCAUCGAGGCAAAUGCGAACUCUAGUGCUCAAUAUUUGAAAAUAAACGUUAGCCAGUCUUUCCUUGUAUGUCAUUGUGCGAAGUUGUCCGUUUGGCGUAGUUCGUAAUAAGCCACAGAUUAUUCGUUUCAAAUGGUCUUUUAAACCAAUAUGCAUAAACUGUGAGUGACUGUGUACCUAUUGAGUGGAAUGAAAUUAUCCUGCAACUGGAUAAUGCAAAGGCACUUAGCAACUGUACGAUUUCGAAUUACCUACGAUCGGUCCUCGAAAAACAGACGAGAGGACAAUAGAUAUGGGUAGGACAGGAGACAAAGGCCUGCAUCUAAGGGGUCAAUUGGUUGGAAAAUUCGAGCAAUGGAACCGGCUGCAGAUCCUCCUCUUCUCUCUAAUUAAGGAUUGGUCAAAUUAUCUUUGUAAAAUCGUAUUCAUGAAAACGAAAGACGAUUGUGCUUUUGAUUAGACCUUCUUUCCAUUUGCACCACUUUGAACUCACGCAACACAUUGAAGAUCAUCGUACUUACGUGUCUAUCUUAUUAGAGAUGUAUACAGAAUAAACUAACACUAUAGUCCGAGGAGAUCUUUCCAAGCAGUGUCAGACUUCAGCACUAUACCCAUGGUAUACCCGUGAGUCAUUCUCGAAAGCACGUCUAGAAGAUCCCACGGGCAUUCCCUUAUCUUGCAUUGUCGAGCUGGGUCGCAGAUCUUCUCACAACUGCCUGAGGUUCUCUUUAAAAAACGCAAUGCACGAACAUCGUGUGGCAGCUUAUGAAGCUGUCCCUUGAAUACCUAAUCCACUGCCUCAACCACAGCCAUUUUAAAAUCCGCUAACAAUGCCCCAACUUCAGUUUCGACAAUUAGGUACUAAUUACGUCGUAAUUAGCGCUGUAAUUAAUAAGUUAUCAGUACCUAAAUACUUACUUUAUUAGUAAUUGGUAGUUCGUAAUUGGUAGUUUAGCGUGCAACGAAUUUUUUUUUUUUUUUUUUGUUGAAAACUUUUCGAUCACAGCUUUAUCCUUUUGCAAAUUGUUUAUCUUGUUUUAUUUUAUUUCAUUUUAUGUAUUUUUUAUUAAGUUACGAAUAUAGUAGCAGCGACGAGUGGCGAGGAUGGCGGCGUGUAGCAAUGAGAUCCGAAACAAUUCGAAUUAUGAUUCAAGACUCAAUGGAGACUUUUACGAGUUUUAAGCUUCGAAUCCUAUUCGAAGUUAUUCAAAUUUGUCGCCGCAUACACGAUAGAGAUUCGAACUGUUUCAGAUCUCACACCACUACUCGCCGCUUCGCUAUAAUCUCGUACUUAGACGUUUCUAGUAUAUUGAUUUUGUAAUUCAUUUUUGUGUCGUCAUUAUUUAUUUAAACCGAAUUGCGUUACCGAUUAUUGAUUAUUUCAAUAGCGUUCAACGUGUAAUUAGGUAGCCAACUGGUUAGGUAUGAAUUACGUAAUCAACUAAUCGAUUUAAAAAUAUGCAAUUGACGUAUGACGUAUAUGGAAUCGAAAUGGCAAAUUUUGGAUUUGAUUAGAUACGACAUAUUACUAUUAUUAAUAUUAGCAAACUACCUUUCGUAAAACACAAACUUUUAGUUUGAAACAUUAACGCAAUAACGUAGCAAAAAUUUGUUGUUGAAGUGAAGGAAAAAUAACAGAUAUUUGUUUGUUAUAAUCCUGUAAAUUUAAAAGCAUGAAACAUUUUGAAACUAUACGAGUAUUUAUAAUUUAGAAGAUAUAUUAACAUCCAUUGUAUUGCUAUAUUUAAUGCAUAACUAACAUAGCUAAUAAGCAGUUUAGUUAACACAUUCGCAACAUUACGUAUUACUGUUAAAUAUGCUAUAAAAAGAAAAUAAUAGUGUAAUUUCUGCUAAAUAAUAUAAAUACUUGAAACUUCAUUUUUAGGUUGCCGAAUAAUCAUGUACAAAAAUUAGUAGGUAUAACUACAUAGAAAGAAAAAUACUUAGUUAAGCCUAAAAUAUGCUGAAACAUAAUCGCAGGAAAAUAUUUAGGUAAAGUAUUCAACGAUAAAGUAUUUCAAUAUUUUAAGACUUAUACACCAUUAAUAAAAUAUGUAAAAAUUAAUGAAAUUUGUGAUCUUCGGAAAGUACAAUGGAAAAAUCAAUAAUGCAGCAGGGAAUAUUCGUGGUGUAUAUUAAUAUUGAACAAAUGCAAUUGUAAUUUAAAAUUAACUUAGCUGAAA